GAAGGGUGCAAGCGUUACUCGGGAAUUACUGGGGCGUAAAGCGUGCGUAGGUGGUGGUUUAAGUCUGCUGUGAAAGCCCUGGGGCUCAACCUGGGGAAUUGCAGCGGAUACUGGGUCACUAGAGUGUGGUAGAGGGAUGCGGAAUUUCCGGUGUAGCAGUGAAAUGCGUAGAGAUCGGAAGGAACAUCCGUGGCGAAGGCGGCAUCCUGGGCCAACACUGACACUGAGGCACGAAAGCGUGGGGAGCAAACAGGAUUAGAUACCCUGGUAGUCCACGCCCUAAACGAUGCGAACUGGAUGUUGGGUGCAACUUGGCACCCAGUAUCGAAGCUAACGCGUUAAGUUCGCCGCCUGGGGAGUACGGUCGCAAGACUG
rnacentral:rRNA from 1 species